AAUGAACGUUGGCGGCGUGGAUUAGGCAUGCAAGUCGAGCGAGAACCCCGCAAGGGGGGACAGCGGCGAAAGGGACAGUAAUGUGUAGAUUAUCUGCCCUCAGGUCCGGGAUAGCUGCGGGAAACUGCAGGUAAUACCGGAUAACAUCUCCGGAUCAAAGGUGUGAUUCCGCCUGAGGAUGAGUCUGCAUCCUAUUAGCUAGUUGGUGGGGUAAUGGCCUACCAAGGCAUUGAUGGGUAGCAGGUGUGAGAGCACGACCUGCGUCAUUGGGACUGAGACACUGCCCAGACACCUACGGGUGGCUGCAGGCGAGAAUCUUCGGCAAUGGGCGCAAGCCUGACCGAGCGACGCCGCGUGUGGGAUGAAGGCCUUCGGGUUGUAAACCACUGUCAGGGGGGAUGAAAUGCAGGUGGGUUCUCCCAUCUGUUUGACAUAGCCUCAGAGGAAGGACGGGCUAAGUUCGUG
rnacentral:rRNA from 1 species